rnacentral:rRNA from 2 species
GAUUCGUCACACUAUCAUUAACUGAAUCCAUAGGUUAAUGAGGCGAACCGGGGGAACUGAAACAUCUAAGUACCCCGAGGAAAAGAAAUCAACCGAGAUUCCCCCAGUAGCGGCGAGCGAACGGGGAGGAGCCCAGAGCCUGAAUCAGCAUGUGUGUUAGUGGAAGCGUCUGGAAAGGCGCGCGAUACAGGGUGACAGCCCCGUACACAAAAGCGCAUGUGCUGUGAGCUCGAUGAGUAGGGCGGGACACGUGGUAUCCUGUCUGAAUAUGGGGGGACCAUCCUCCAAGGCUAAAUACUCCUGACUGACCGAUAGUGAACCAGUACCGUGAGGGAAAGGCGAAAAGAACCCCGGCGAGGGGAGUGAAAAAGAACCUGAAACCGUGUACGUACAAGCAGUGGGAGCACCCUUCGGGGUGUGACUGCGUACCUUUUGUAUAAUGGGUCAGCGACUUAUAUUCUGUAGCAAGGUUAACCGUAUAGGGGAGCCGGAGGGAAACCGAGUCUUAAUUGGGCGUUAAGUUGCAGGGUAUAGACCCGAAACCCGGUGAUCUAGCCAUGGGCAGGUUGAAGGUUGGGUAACACUAACUGGAGGACCGAACCGACUAAUGUUGAAAAAUUAGCGGAUGACCUGUGGCUGGGGGUGAAAGGCCAAUCAAACCGGGAGAUAGCUGGUUCUCCCCGAAAGCUAUUUAGGUAGCGCCUCGUGAAUUCAUCUCCGGGGGUAGAGCACUGUUUCGGCUAGGGGGCCAUCCCGGCUUACCAACCCGAUGCAAACUGCGAAUACCGGAGAAUGUUAUCACGGGAGACACACGGCGGGUGCUAACGUCCGUCGUGAAGAGGGAAACAACCCAGACCGCCAGCUAAGGUCCCAAAGUCAUGGUUAAGUGGGAAACGAUGUGGGAAGGCCCAGACAGCCAGGAUGUUGGCUUAGAAGCAGCCAUCAUUUAAAGAAAGCGUAAUAGCUCACUGGUCGAGUCGGCCUGCGCGGAAGAUGUAACGGGGCUAAACCAUGCACCGAAGCUGCGGCAGCGAACGUAUCACCCAAGACAACUUUACGGAGUUGACGAUUGACGGAGCGAAGCGACGUCAAAGCGUUCAUUAAAGUCGAGUUGGCUUAGGGAUACGUUCGUUGGGUAGGGGAGCGUUCUGUAAGCCUGUGAAGGUGUGUCGUGAGGCAUGCUGGAGGUAUCAGAAGUGCGAAUGCUGACAUAAGUAACGAUAAAGCGGGUGAAAAGCCCGCUCGCCGGAAGACCAAGGGUUCCUGUCCAACGUUAAUCGGGGCAGGGUGAGUCGACCCCUAAGGCGAGGCCGAAAGGCGUAGUCGAUGGGAAACGGGUUAAUAUUCCCGUACUUGGUGUUACUGCGAAGGGGGGACGGAGAAGGCUAUGUUGGCCGGGCGACGGUUGUCCCGGUUUAAGCGUGUAGGUGUGUGUUCCAGGUAAAUCCGGUUCACUUUAACACUGAGGCGUGACGACGAGGCACUACGGUGCUGAAGCAACAAAUGCCCUGCUUCCAGGAAAAGCCUCUAAGCAUCAGGUAACAUCAAAUCGUACCCCAAACCGACACAGGUGGUCAGGUAGAGAAUACCAAGGCGCUUGAGAGAACUCGGGUGAAGGAACUAGGCAAAAUGGUGCCGUAACUUCGGGAGAAGGCACGCUGACACGUAGGUGAAGUGAUUUACUCAUGGAGCUGAAGUCAGUCGAAGAUACCAGCUGGCUGCAACUGUUUAUUAAAAACACAGCACUGUGCAAACACGAAAGUGGACGUAUACGGUGUGACGCCUGCCCGGUGCCGGAAGGUUAAUUGAUGGGGUCAGCGCAAGCGAAGCUCCUGAUCGAAGCCCCGGUAAACGGCGGCCGUAACUAUAACGGUCCUAAGGUAGCGAAAUUCCUUGUCGGGUAAGUUCCGACCUGCACGAAUGGCGUAAUGAUGGCCAGGCUGUCUCCACCCGAGACUCAGUGAAAUUGAACUCGCUGUGAAGAUGCAGUGUACCCGCGGCAAGACGGAAAGACCCCGUGAACCUUUACUAUAGCUUGACACUGAACAUUGAGCCUUGAUGUGUAGGAUAGGUGGGAGGCUUUGAAGUGUGGACGCCAGUCUGCAUGGAGCCGACCUUGAAAUACCACCCUUUAAUGUUUGAUGUUCUAACGUGGACCCGUAAUCCGGGUUGCGGACAGUGUCUGGUGGGUAGUUUGACUGGGGCGGUCUCCUCCUAAAGAGUAACGGAGGAGCACGAAGGUUGGCUAAUCCUGGUCGGACAUCAGGAGGUUAGUGCAAUGGCAUAAGCCAGCUUGACUGCGAGCGUGACGGCGCGAGCAGGUGCGAAAGCAGGUCAUAGUGAUCCGGUGGUUCUGAAUGGAAGGGCCAUCGCUCAACGGAUAAAAGGUACUCCGGGGAUAACAGGCUGAUACCGCCCAAGAGUUCAUAUCGACGGCGGUGUUUGGCACCUCGAUGUCGGCUCAUCACAUCCUGGGGCUGAAGUAGGUCCCAAGGGUAUGGCUGUUCGCCAUUUAAAGUGGUACGCGAGCUGGGUUUAGAACGUCGUGAGACAGUUCGGUCCCUAUCUGCCGUGGGCGCUGGAGAACUGAGGGGGGCUGCUCCUAGUACGAGAGGACCGGAGUGGACGCAUCACUGGUGUUCGGGUUGUCAUGCCAAUGGCACUGCCCGGUAGCUAAAUGCGGAAGAGAUAAGUGCUGAAAGCAUCUAAGCACGAAACUUGCCCCGAGAUGAGUUCUCCCUGAGACUUAGAGUCUCCUGAAGGAACGUUGAAGACGACGACGUUGAUAGGCCGGGUGUGUAAGCGCAGCGAUGCGUUGAGCUAACCGGUACUAAUGAACCGUGAGGCUUAACCUUACA